UUUCUUCUUGGAUCGCCCCGCUGCGGUUUGUCUUGCUUUGCUUUCUCGCGUUUUCCAUUUUUACUCCUUCGUUUGGACUUACUGGCGCGCAUGUGUGUGUGUGUGUGUGUGUGCCCGUUUCUCGUCUGUACCGCCCCCCCCACCAGCCGCUAUUCACCAGUCACCAUCGGUCAGGAAGUACCGUUUUAUAUACACCCGAUUUCCUGCCCACCCUGCUCUCUUUUUUUUUCUGCUUCAUUCGAGUGAUACACUCACACACACAAACACACACACACACACACACACACACACACACACAGCCACAGCCACAACUGAGGAGGCACAAGUCCCUGACACCAUUGCCCGUGUGUUUGUGCGUGGAAGGGUAGAAGGGAAGCCUUGAUUUUAUUUCGUUGCAUUGUGUGCAGAGGAACAGCGCGAAGAAAAGGCAGUAGCAAAGAAGGCUGCACACGAAGAUAAAGGCGCUCACUUACAGAUAGGCGCGCGCACACCGACACCUCUACCAAGCCCUGCUGUUAACUGCGUAGACGUGCUUCAUCUUCCUUAUCUGUGAGGACUUCGGCGCCUUAACCUGCACUCUCCCCCUCUUUUUGUUGUUUGUAUCUCUCGCUUGCGCUCUCCUCCGGCCCGCCGUGCUUUUAUCCCCGCAUUGUGUUGUGCUGCUGGGACGCUUCUCGUGCGACUUGGCAGCUUUCCUUUGGCGUCUCGUUUACCACUAUCACGGUAGGGUGUUGACGGUUUAUCCGUCUCUUUGUUUGUGGGGAAGGGGGGAGUGUUUGCGUGUGGGUGUUCUGUGUGUGUGUGUGUGUGUGUGCGAUCCCUCCUCUCGUUGUUUCUCCGCUAGUACCGUGGAACUAGGAUCGGAGCUGCACGAGAGUCAGUGGGCUGCUGCGGAGGGCUUCAAGUGCCGUAUCCCUAACCGUUCCUCCGCCUCCUUGCUUGCUGCCCUCUCGGAAUCGGUUUCCUCGUUGGUCUGCGUGAAGAAUGCCCCUGUACGCCCCUCUCGGUAUAAGGUUCUCAGAUGACGUAAAUGCGCGAGCGCGCCUCGAGCGGCAACGCAUUGCGCGUCUCAACAGCAUCCUCCGACAUGGAAGCGACGAGCAGCGCCGCCAAGCGCUGAAGAUGAAGCCACUUCCACUUCCCGAGGACCCUGAGGCCUUGGCGGUGCCUGGCACUGCCGUUCUCGACCUUCCUGGCGGCGCGGACGAAUCCCUUGACUCACGCAACGAAACCGGCGUCUUCGAUCCGCUGGACGCCGUGGCGCAACGCUACGGUGGCGCUCCAUACAACGAUGAUGACAGGCGUGCCGCGGCACGGGGUGUCGACUACUCCGUCUUCAUGGAGGUGUUAUGCCCAAACGGGUCUUCGCUGCUGGAGUCCCUCCCCCUAGAACCUCGCACCCUGCGUCCGCAUUUCAAAGGCUCGAGUAGCGAAUCUAAGAAAUCCCAGUUUGAAUCUGCUCUGUCGUCUCCACGGUGUGGGCUGCAUACUCGCCUGCCAUCCACUGCCGUAGCGGCUGCAAUGCCGGAAGCAUCGCUCUCACUCGGGCACAAUGCCUUCGUCGCGCGCGGGCCCCCUUCGGCCUCUUUUGUCAACACCUCCACCGUAUCCGAGGCCUCGGUGCAGUCGGGUUUAGACGAGGCCUACGUUGAUGCCCCCAUCACCCUCGGCAGCGAGGCUGCUUCGCUGAGCGCUCCUUCUGCUGAGAACGGCUUUGCGACCCCGACGCAUGGCGUCGCUGACCCUGCCAGCGACGCCGCACGUGCAACUGCUGCCACACACGCUGAUGACGACGACACCGCCCCGGACAUAUUUGUGAGUGCCGGCUCCUUUUCCCUCGCCCCAUCCCACCGCAGUAGUCGCUGGCACUCACUGCUGUCCUUCCGCCGGAGUCCGUCCGGCUCCAGCAAGGCAUCCCACACGGACUCUGGCCACCGCAACGCCAGAAGUGUUGCCAACCUCAGCCUCACCCGCUCUCUCAGUCAAAGAGCACUGAAAAGCUCAUCGGAGCUGUCCUUGCCCGCCUCUGGAGCUACAAGUGCGCAGCUGACCCCUCUGGCGGCUGCUGACGGCUGUGACCUUGGUGGUCGCGUAAUCUUCACGGACCGGUUUGUGAAGGCGCAGUCCCACACUGCGCUGCCCACCAUGAUUUCCGCCUUCAAGCAGUACAUGCGCUCCGCCUCCUCCGCGACGGCGUGUUCGUCCCUUACGCACAGUCAGACGCUGGACAUCUAUACUCCGUACGAGCACUGGUCCUCCCUGCAGCACCAGCAACUUCAGAAUGCUCAUCAGCAUCUCGGCCCUUGCCAUCGCGGAAUUCCGCUCAAGAGCGACAACACCAACAAAGAGAUCGAGAACUGCGUCCUCGAGGCGGGUAAAUGCGUUCGGCCGACUUUUCGCCGCAUGGACCCUGCCGACCUCUACGGCACCAGCCACUACAUCUCCGGCGCCUUCAUCAAGGUGGCAAAGCCGUCGACCAGCAUCUAAAUCAAGACCGCAGGUACCAUAUGGGCGCGAAAACAUAUUCUCCAGAGAUGGCGAGGAAUGGUAACGUGGACUUCGUACCGCUGACGGGAGCCCACGCGAUCCUGCGGUUUUUUGGCCGGCUCCGGUAAGGACAGCAUUUUUACCUUGGCGUAUGCUUCGGCCUUUCACCGACGUUCCGUCUUCUUGUUUUCCUUGUGCCCGCUCUUCUUCUUUGCCUCCUGCUUCCGGGUAUGGCGUUUUUCCUUCUUGUUCAUUUCUGCUCCACUUCCCAUGACGAGGGUACACACACCUCUCAG
rnacentral:misc_RNA from 1 species